GAACAGGUCUCCGAUCCCUAGGCUAUAUUUACUCUUCUGCCCCUAUAUCUUCGUAACAGUAAGCUUCUACCCAUUUCCAUUAAUGCCCCUGUCGUCCUCUCGAAACUGCUUUCGUCUUCUACGUGUCGUCGCCGGAAAACGCCACCUCAGCCUUAGCGACGAAGUUAUCCGAAUUCGUCACUUCUAAAUUUAGAGAGAGAGAGAGAAAAAAAGAGAGAGAUCGCACACAGAAGUGUGCGUUGAUUCAUGAACGACUAUGAAUUUCAAAAUUGUAAUAUCAUAUGUGCUGUAUUUAAUAAUGGUUGCUCUGAUAAGCAUGGACUGAUCCAUUCCAUUGUUAUGAAGUUCGACGGUGUUUUUGUUUUGCCGCUCUCUUCUUCUUCUUCUUCUUCGCAGUUCUUAUGCAUUGUUCGCUUGAUUGAUCUCCAUCAGAGCUUCGAUUGCUAUUUAAAUGGCGAAAUGCAGCACUGCUCGACACUUUUUUAGGUUAACCAGUCUUCAGAUUGGAGACUUGCAAUCGUAUCUUUCAGAUCUUAGCCUCUUCUUAGCACCUGAUAGCAAGACAUUCUAUGUAUUGGUAGAUAACAGACCAUGGCUGCAAGACUUAGUAUCACGUCCUGCACACCUGUGGCAAUUAAUGGUUACCAAGUCUCGGAUGUCCCCUUUCGCGAUCAGAAGAGCAAGAAACGACAGGAAAGACACCACCCAAAAUUUCAACGAGUUGAAGUUCUCUUCUGAAACUUCAACUUCAACCCCAUCUGAAAAUCUGAGAAGAUGGUUCCUGGUGAUUGAUGCUGCAAUUCUCUCAAGAAAAAGGGCCCUGCUACCUGUUGAGAAGCUUAGAACUUCCUUGCUUGCAAGUAGCAAACUGCAUAGAACCUUAUAUGGAUUCAUCGUUUUUGAAGUCGCCUGGAAAGAUGUACGUGGCAUCAAUUACUUGAAUGAACUUCAGACUGAUACUUGUCUUGCCAUAGAAGCAAAACAUAUGAGAAGAUGGGAAUUCGAUAGUAUAUCUCAAGCUGCUAAAGGCAUAACUUCAUGGUUUCCAGGGACACCAAGUGAGUGUUCUCUUUUAAAACAGCAACUCAACUCCAUGAAUGUUGAGACUGAUUCUCAAAGCAACUCAUGUGAAGAGGUAGAUGAAGCUACUGAAUACAUGGACGCAUUACUUAUAUUUCGUUUCAAUGAUCAUGAUCUUCCUUUCGAAUUACAAGACAUAAUUAUGCCAGACUUGCGAUUGCUUACUUUAUUAGAAGCUGGACUUCCAUCUUGGGUUAUCUUCUUUCAAUCCUACCCAGUAUUCUGCCAUAUAUAUCGGCCAUGGAUGUGCCCUCUAGCAAGAUUUUUAUACGUGGCAAUUUCAAUUGUUACAGUUGUGAUUGGCUUCUAUGAUUUGUAUAAAAACAUCCCUCUUCUUAAAGCAACCGCAUCCCGUUUAUGUGGGCCACUUUUUGGGUGGAUAGAAACAUGGGAGAUGGUGUCACGAAUCAAGUAUUUGGGGACUAUGUUGUUUUUGCAUAACUCUCAGAAAGCAGUCAAGUGGUUCUUGAUGAUGACGUGUACUCUACAAUCACAUGUUUCAUUUCUGACUCGGCCAUUAAUGGUUGUUUUGGAGGCCCUUCUUCCCAUUUGGAACAUAUUCAUACAGACGGGGGAUUAUUUUUUCUCUUUCGUUUGGAUUCUGAUGACAACAUUUUGGAAUACAUUUGAGAAUCUAAUCGAUAUCAUAUUGCUUCCUGUUUAUUUCAUCGCAUCGAUCAUUUGGAUUAUUGCAACAGCGAUCUUGUACCCGGUAUUUUGGUUUGUUUGGGGGAUAGUGUGUGCUCCAGUUCACCUUGUUGUUGGGGUAUCGAAUUUUGUGGGAUUUAUGUUUAACCAUAUGUAUAAUUUGAGUGGAGUUAUAUGGAUUUUUGUGAGUGGUAUAUUUAAGGUGGCUUCCAAUGCUGAAACAGCUGCUAGCACUUAUGAAGUUUCCAUGUGGCGUGCUCUUUGGAAUGAUCUUUUCUCUCAGAUUUUUCGUGCUGUUCGGAGCAUUUUGAAUGGGUUUGUUGCAUUUUUCACAGCUUGCAAUAGGCAUCGACUAAGCAUAUAUAAUCAUGUACAAGAGUUAAUUAGAAGACUUGAUCAGCCAAUUACAGGGAGGUCACGCCUCUUGAAUUCCAUACAAAGAGUGAAGAAGUCAGGAAGCAAGACACUGGUGGAAAGCAUGGAUAGAAGGAGGGGAUUGGUUGCUAAAAACAUAAAACAGUGUUGACAAGUAACUAAAUGUUGUAUACAAAGAAACACCAUUGAUAUAAAGAUCGAGGAGGUUUGUUAUGAAAGACGAAAUUGGUAAAGACAAUAUCAGGCAGCUUGUUGUGUUGAAUAUUUUUGGGCUAACAACAAGAAGGCGUGAUUUUGGAGACGAAAUUGGUUUAGUCCGUUUAGACUAGGGAUGAGCAUACGACCCGUGGGACCGGACCCGGACCGAACCGGAUUAUCAUAUUAAUGGGCUGGUUUUCGGGUUUGGUUUUUAUCAAUAAUCGGGUUUCGGGUUUGGAUCGGACCAUACCUGAAUUAAAGGAUUUAACCCGGGCCGGACCGGAAAACCAAAAAUUAUUUUCUUUUUUUAUCGACAAACAGUAAGCGAGAGUUACUAAAAUAAAAAAAAAUAUUGUCCGAUUGAAUUGAUUCGGCCUCUCCUGUGGAUCACAUUAUAGUGUCAAUUUUUUUUUGUUUCGACCUCUUCUCUUGAUCGUAUUAUGGUGUUGAUUUUUUUCUCGAAAAACCAAAAGUUAUUUCCUACUACAUUUUUUUUUAAUAAAAAUAGUGCAGUUUUUUUUAAAUAGUAUUUUUUAAUAAAAAUAAUGUUGUUAAGUGUAAA